UACGUAGGGUGCAAGCGUUAAUCGGAAUUACUGGGCGUAAAGCGUGCGUAGACGGUUAUGUAAGUCGGGUGUGAAAGCCCCGGGCUCAACCUGGGAAUGCCAUUCGAGACUGCAUAGCUAGGGUGCGGAAGAGGGAAGCGGAAUUUCCGGUGUAGCGGUGAAAUGCGUAGAUAUCGGAAGGAACACCAGUGGCGAAAGCGGCUUCCUGGUCCAGCACCGACGUCAGGCACGAAAGCGUGGGGAGCAAGCAGG
rnacentral:rRNA from 1 species